UAGAAGGCAGCAGCAGCUACCACAUAACUAGUAGUAGUGCUUGCCCAGCUAGGUCCCGAGCCAAAGGGUGCGGUGGCUGUCGUCCAUCUUGACAAAUGCAUUGCCCUGGGACUUGUUGUCCAGGAUGUGGCUAAAAGCAACGAUCAGGGCCUCCUCAGAGAAGUCAGGGGUCAGCAUCAUAGCAUUGUAGAGGUCAAGCCCAGUCUCCCUCAGUGCUG
rnacentral:lncRNA from 1 species